rnacentral:rRNA from 1 species
UACGUAGGGUGCGAGCGUUAAUCGGAAUUACUGGGCGUAAAGCGUGCGCAGGCGGUUUUGUAAGACCGAUGUGAAAUCCCCGGGCCUAACCUGGGAACUGCAUUGGUGACUGCAAGGCUUGAGUGCGGCAGAGGGGAAUGGAAUUCCGCGUGUAGCAGUGAAAUGCGUAGAUAUGCGGAGGAACACCGAUGGCGAAGGCAGUUCCCUGGGCCUGCACUGACGCUCAUGCACGAAAGCGUGGGGAGCAAAC